GGGCGCGUAGCUCAGAUGGUUAGAGUGCCGUCUUGACAUGGCGGAGGUCCCUGGUUCGAUUCCAGGCGCGCCCACCA
rnacentral:tRNA from 2 species